rnacentral:lncRNA from 7 species
AAUAAGCUAGGCCUGCCCUACACGGAGCAAGCGAGCGUCAGGCCUUCCCGAGGGAUUCCCAGAAGCAUGACCCGGUUCUGGUCGCAGUCCACCGAGGAUUGGAGCGGCAGUGACACGGGCGGCCCUGCAGCGGUAGAGCCAAGGUCAGGCCCCAAGGGACAGCGGGGCAGCAGCCUGCAGCACAGAUGCAGGACACCAGCGUGCAUCCCUGUUCUCUUCCCCAAGAGUCCAGGCUGCCCGGCCUGGUGCUCCAGCUUUGCUUUCGUUUCCCAGGCGAACGAGCCCCAAAUUCACGUUUUCACCCAAGAAUGCAAUCCAGAAUCCUUGUCCCCGUAUUCGAGUAGGGUGACCAGGAGAACCGAGGUGGGGGCAGGAAACCCAGACCGAGGGUGCCCCGCGAGUGGGCCGAGUUCCUUUCACUUUCCCCCAUUGCUCCGCAAUUUCGGGUGCAACUACCUGGGCCAAGCCCAGCUUCAGAGACUGGCCCCGUGCUCUGGAGAAAGCAACCACCACGGGAAGAGACUGCAGCCUCAGCGUCUCCUUGUCCGCUUCACCCUCAUCCUCUGUGCGGGAGAGGGCAGCAACAUACACGCCUGGCACCUUCCUUCUUUCCAAGAGUUGCGCUUUCCUAACCCUGCUCCCCGCUGGUUUUUCUCAUACUUCCUUGCCCCCUUUUGCAAAAUUUCCGCCUUGAUCUUAAAUACCUCGAAAGAUAGGAAGACCCGGAAUUCUAUUAAAACAAAACAAAACGUAA